rnacentral:lncRNA from 1 species
CAGGAAGCCAGGGUUUCAGCCGACAAGGGAGUGGGGUGAGGUGAGGUGGCCUCUCCUGCUCUAAUUCCCAGUCUCAGUGUAUUUAAGUAAGUGUCUGCAAAGACAACAAUGCAUAAAUUAUGAGUACUCGAAGGCAGUUCCUGCGAAAGGAAGAGAAUUUAUAAAUGUUGCAGCACUGUUUCCUUCUGAGGGGUACCCAGUGAGUCAAAGGUCACUGUGAUGUUUACCUCUCUCUGUCUCCUGCUGGGGGAAGGAAGGGGUGACUCCUGCGUCAUUUCUCAGCAUCUCAGCAACACCAGAGGGGAUAGGAGGUCCUUCACUCUUCUCCAGUCAAGCCAGGGAAAAAAAAAAGGAUGCUUUCAGACAGUGAUUGUAUCAUUUCGGAAUUGCAUUUUGCUGGCCUUCACAGAGACCUGACAGUAGCAACUUAAGCAGAUUGGGUUAUUUCCCUCUGUCGUAGGAGGAUGAUGAACAUUAACACAUGCACAGCAGCUCUGUGAAUCAUCAAGAACCCAGGAUCCUUGUGACUUUGUGCUCUUUCACAUUUGGCAUGUGGCUUUCAUCCUCAACCUUGCCUCAUGGUGUAAGGUGGAAGGAGCUUCAAUAGCCAUUGUGUCUCCAUUCCAGGGAAGAGGCGGGAAGAAGAGGGUCUGGGUAUCUUUCAAGAAACCUUUCCAGAAGUUAACACCCAGAACUGACCACAUUCCAGGAGACUCCUGGUCUCACCUGUCUCCAUGGUCCUCAGCUACUGGAUCAACUCUGCAUAGACUCGUCACAGUGUGACCUUGCCGCCUGGCUACGCUCUGUAGCUUUCCUUGCAAGGCUUCCCCAUCCCCACCUAGGAGUGGGGUUCCAUCUGACCUGGGGCAAAGGAAUAGGCCUCAUGAAAUUGAGCGAUCAGUUGUGUUUGAUGCCCAGCAAUGCCCAGCUUCAUAACACAUCUUCAUAUCGGCUCUCUCUCCUUCCCUACAUCAUGUCCCUUACCGCUCCUUCCCUAGGAGUGCAUUUCCUAAAAAAUUAGCGACACAUCCACUUUGUCUCAGGCUCUGCUUUCUUGGGAACCCAGACUAUAAUAGGGCAAAACAGGGUGACAUGAACGUAUUAGCUAGGGCACCCCAGCAAUGUAGUCUUUUAGCUGGGAAUCUUGACUUGUCAAAUCAGAUCAGAUUUCUAUUGCUUAGGAAGUAUGAGAGAAGUCUCUGCCACAGUGACCUACAGUUAAAGGAAAUUAAGCAGAGGCAUGGUAGAGAGUGACUAGGGGCAGGGUCACUUCUAGGUGGUGGGUUUUGUUUUUUUUUAAGAUUUUAUUUAUUUAUUCAUGAGAGACACACAGAAUGAGGCAGAGACACAGGCAGAGGGAGAAGCAGGCUCCUUGUGCAGAGCCCGAUGUGAGACUUGAUCCCAAGACCCCAGGAUCACACCCCAAGCCAAAGACAGACACUCAACCAAUGAGCCACCUAGGCAUCCCCACUUCUAGGGUUCUGUGUGCACCUAAAUUGGUCUCUUCAACAGUAGGCAAACAGCACUGAAAAAUUCCAUUAGCUACAUUUAGCUAAACUAGAAUGCCUGGUGCCUUUGGGGCUGUGCCAUGGGAACAAAAUCCAAAUGAGGCAAAUUGCACCAGCCGAGAUCUUUUUCUUUGAGGCUAAUAGAGCCUGGUUGUCUAGAGGUAGCUUGCAGCUACAGUACCAGUUUUGCUUGAAUUAGACAAGGAGGUCUUAGGAGAUUUGGGCCAAUAUUAUUAGGACGUUACCCUAGAGGCUACCUUCAAAGGUGUAUUAUUUUUUAUCAGGACUGUGAAAGGCAGGAGAUAGUGGGUGCUGGCAGAAGUAAAGUAAGGUGGGAGUCUGGAUGAAAGUGGAAGUCAAGGUUUAGUGUGAUGCAAAACUGAAAAAGAUGCUACUCUCAGGGGGCAGGGCUGUCAGCACCAAGAAAGUAGCUGAGUAAGAAGAAAGCAAAAUAAAGUGGAGUAACAGAAUGGGGUUAUCCAGAGGCCUUUAGAAGUGGAAGAUGAGGGGGAGGCAUAGGGAGUUGGACCUGUGUGGAAGUUUUCCUUGGUUGUGCCUUAGAGAGCCUGAGGGCACUCCCCCAGUUAGAAUGGCUUGAUUCUUUUGGAUUCAGACAUCUCCCCCCAACCCCCAAUGUUGAAUAUUACUUUUUUAAAAGAUUUUAUUUUUAAGUAAUCUCUACACCCAAUGUGGGGCUUGAACUAACAACCCCAAGAUAAAGAAUAGUGUGCUCUUCCUACUGAGCCAGCCAGGAGACCCUGGAUAUUACUUUUAAAAUAAAAUUUAAAAAAAUCUCUGGGAUAUCUAACAUCUGAUAUUACUCAUCAGUUCACUCACUCAAACAGUGAUUAGUUGAUAAUUGUUGAGAGCAAUAGGACAGUGGACUAGGGUGUGUGGAGAUGGGCAUGUGGAAAGAGGACCCCAAAACUUGAAGUGCAGAGAAGGAAGAAAAUUACUAGCAAAAAGCUGCCUUGGCUCACAGUGUUGGAUUCCUUUCCCUAAGCAGUUUGGCAAAACUCCAGAAUGUUAGAGAGACCAGGAAAAGUACCAACUGGGUCAGUUAUACUACAAACCAUUAGUCCAGAAUCCUGUGCAGCCCAAGUGGGUUCAACAAAACAAAGCCAGGCCAGACUGUCUGAAGCAUAUUUUUAUUAGGUGCUUCUCAAAAUACAGAAAUAAAGGACAGAAAC